GUUUGGAGGUUGACUUGGCUGGGGCUGACGGUCAAUUGACGGGUGCUGGCAUACCAGUUUAUGCAGUCUCCGCUUCUCCAGCACUUCUGGUAUAUUAGCGACGAACUACUGGAUCUCUCCAGGGUGGUGUCUAUAUGCAGGUGUAUGGUGGGCUGGUGCAACGGCUAACAGGUGGUGAGCCUGGGCGUAGCGGCAGUUAAAGGUAUUCUCACGGCUCCUGGAAGUAGGUAGUUGGGCCUGUGAAGCAACAGAGCUCUAGUCGCUAACGCUGUCCCUUUCCUGCAUGUAGGUUUGUCAGCGUCGCCAUUGACCGGUCUAGGUGGUGCAUAACCAUUUAAACAUGCAGGCC